rnacentral:tRNA from 2 species
GCCCCCGUAGCCCAACCGGCAGAGGCAGCCGGCUUAAAACCGGCUCAGUCCGGGUUCGAGUCCCGGCGGGGGCACCA